UUGAAAUUCAUCUUCCUCCUGGCCCGAGUUCUUGCAAUUUACUGUUUAUUUCUAGAUGAAAACCUAGCACCCUCCUUUCUAGGGUCUGCCCUGCGCAGUAACAGGUGUUAGCAUUCUAGCAGCAGCUUGAUGGUCAUGUAUGAUACUGCAUACAGAU